rnacentral:rRNA from 1 species
AGAGUUUGAUCCUGGCUCAGAUUGAACGCUGGCGGCAUGCCUUACACAUGCAAGUCGAACGGCAGCGGACCUUCGGGUGCCGGCGAGUGGCGAACGGGUGAGUAAUGUAUCGGAACGUACCUUUCAGUGGGGGAUAACGUAGCGAAAGUUACGCUAAUACCGCAUAUUCUGUGAGCAGGAAAGCAGGGGAUCGCAAGACCUUGCGCUGAUUGAGCGGCCGAUAUCAGAUUAGCUAGUUGGUGAGGUAAAGGCUCACCAAGGCGACGAUCUGUAGCGGGUCUGAGAGGAUGAUCCGCAACACUGGAACUGAGACACGGUCCAGACUCCUACGGGAGGCAGCAGUGGGGAAUUUUGGACAAUGGGGGCAACCCUGAUCCAGCCAUGCCGCGUGAGUGAAGAAGGCCUUCGGGUUGUAAAGCUC